rnacentral:rRNA from 1 species
UACGUAGGGUGCAAGCGUUUGUCCGGAAUUAUUGGGCGUAAAGAGCUCGUAGGCGGUCUGUCGCGUCUGCUGUGAAAAUCAGGGCUCAACCCUGGACCUGCAGUGGGUACGGGCAGACUAGAGUGCGGUAGGGGAGAUCGGAAUUCCUGGUGUAGCGGUGAAAUGCGCAGAUAUCAGGAGGAACACCGGUGGCGAAGGCGGAUCUCUGGGCCGAUAUCGACGUGAGGAGCGAAAGCGUGGGGGAGCGAACAGG